GACUAAAAUCCUAUAUAACAUGUUAACCUUUCACAAGGGUUGUCGUAAAUGUAUCUGCACGGUAUUUUGCUUGGCUUAUCUGAAUGUAAUAGUGCUCUGUUUCUUCGGAUGACGGAGUCAAGCCGCUUCCAGCAGAGUUUGAGAGUUGCUUUCUCCUCUAAGUGUCUUUAGGGAGCGAGAGCGCUCUGCAUUCACUGCACACGUGUCCUUGAUCAACUGCAGAACCGGCGUAUGCUGAAGCUGAUCAUUUUCCGCAGGCUAGUAGACUCAGCAUGGACCAACUCAAUAACCUGAUAUUCCCCCACAGCUGAAUAUGGCCAAUUUUGCAGUAGGUGUGUAAUGAGGGAGAUCGCUUCAGCACGCACCCAAUCAGAAACAGCUAAUCUGACCAUAUUGUUUGACAAGUGUGUUCCUUACUGCUCUCUGCCACAGGAGAUGUAAUCUGAAACAAUUAUGCCAAUUCCUCAGAACAGUAUGGUGCGGGGUGAGUUGGCAAUUUCCUGUGAGAUGGAACCACUGCAGUCGGGCGUCUCUCUCUGAUAACGUCUCUGACAUGAGCUGCUGUUAGCGUCAGCACACAGAGCUGGACUAGCACUGAUGGGGACUUGUCAUACAGUCCAGAGAGCUGUGACCUGCUCUGCUUCCACAGCGCUCUUCUGGUACUGCAGCACACAUUACAAACAUUGUGCAUAGCAUGCAAAUAAUAUGUAUGCAUAUCAAAUGACUUAAGCAUUGCUAAAAUGCUCACAGAGCAUACUUGAUGGAACAGUGUAUCCCACAAUGCACCUGACCUUCCAUUUCCAGUGUGACAGAUGAACCAG
ensembl:lncRNA